rnacentral:rRNA from 1 species
UACGUAGGGUGCAAGCGUUGUCCGGAAUUAUUGGGCGUAAAGAGCUCGUAGGCGGUUUUUCGCGUCUGCUGUGAAAACUCGGGGCUUAACCCCGGGCCUGCAGUGGGUACGGGCAGACUAGAGUGCGGUAGGGGAGACUGGAAUUCCUGGUGUAGCGGUGAAAUGCGCAGAUAUCAGGAGGAACACCGGUGGCGAAGGCGGCCUGCUGGGCAGUUGCUGACGCUGAGGCACGAAGGCCAGGGGAGCAAACGGG